rnacentral:rRNA from 1 species
UGGGGAAUUGUUCGCAAUGGGCGCAAGCCUGACGACGCAACGCCGCGUGGGGGAAGAAGGCUUUCGGGUUGUAAACCUCUUUCAGGGGGGACGAAGCCACCGGGGUUAAUAGCCCACGGGGUGACGGUACCCCCAGAAGAAGCCCCGGCUAACUACGUGCCAGCAGCCGCGGUAAUACGUAGGGGGCAAGCGUUGUCCGGAAUCAUUGGGCGUAAAGCGCGUGUAGGUGGCUUGGUAAGUCCGGUGUGAAACCUUGGGGCUCAACCCCAAGCCUGCAUCGGAUACUGCCUCGCUCGAGUUCGGGAGGGGAGAGCGGAAUUCCUAGUGUAGCGGUGAAAUGCGCAGAUAUUAGGAAGAACACCGGUGGCGAAGGCGGCUCUCUGGAACGAUACUGACACUGAGACGCGAAAGCGUGGGUAGCAAACAGGAUUAGAUACCCAUGUAGUCCCUGAGCGGGCUGGCAAGGCGCAU